AGAACGAACGCUGGCGGCAUGCCUAACACAUGCAAGUCGAACGAGACCUUCGGGUCUAGUGGCGCACGGGUGCGUAACGCGUGGGAAUCUGCCCUUGGGUUCGGAAUAACAGUUGGAAACGACUGCUAAUACCGGAUGAUGACGUAAGUCCAAAGAUUUAUCGCCCAGGGAUGAGCCCGCGUAGGAUUAGCUAGUUGGUGAGGUAAAGGCUCACCAAGGCGACGAUCCUUAGCGUGGUCUGAGAGGAUGAUCAGCCACACUGGGACUGAGACACGGCCCAGACUCCUACGGGAGGCAGCAGUGGGAAUAGUUGGACAAUGGGCGCAAGCCUGAUCCAGCAAUGCCGCGUGAGUGAUGAAGGCCGUUAGGGUUAGUAAGCUUCUUUUACCCGAG
rnacentral:rRNA from 1 species